AGUGAACGCUGGUGGUAGGCCUAACACAUGCAAGUCGAACGGCAGCACAGUAAGAGCUUGCUCUUACGGGUGGCGAGUGGCGGACGGGUGAGGAAUACAUCGGAAUCUACUUUUUCGUGGGGAUAACGUAGGGAAACUUACGCUAAUACCGCAUACGACCUACGGGUGAAAGCAGGGGAUCUUCGGACCUUGCGCGAUUGAAUGAGCCGAUGUCGGAUUAGCUAGUUGGCGGGGUAAAGGCCCACCAAGGCGACGAUCCGUAGCUGGUCUGAGAGGAUGAUCAGCCACACUGGAACUGAGACACGGUCCAGACUCCUACGGGAGGCAGCAGUGGGGAAUAUUGGACAAUGGGCGCAAGCCUGAUCCAGCCAUACCGCGUGGGUGAAGAAGGCCUUCGGGUUGUAAAGCCCUUUUGUUGGGAAAGAAAAGCAGCAGGUUAAUACCCCGCUGUUCUGACGGUACCCAAAGAAUAAGCACCGGCUAACUUCGUG
rnacentral:rRNA from 1 species